rnacentral:lncRNA from 1 species
GGAUACAACCGACGCAGACACUGUUAAGCAUGGUAAAAUAUUAUUUAUUUCUAUCAAGACCUGAAAUAAUAAUAAAUUACUAUCUGAUUAAGUUCUUAAAAGUUAUAUGUCUGUUAAUAUAAAGUAUUAUUAACAGCGACACUGUUCUGUGCUCGUAUAUGUCUUAAGCAGCUCAGGACACAGGACAGUCUGAUAAUGAAAUAAAGUUCAACAGUCAUAAGCCAUCAUUAACUUAUCUGAUAUCAUAAACUUAACACCUGAUGUUUUUUUCGAAGAACACUUCCUGAUUUCACACACACGACAACAACUAAGAAUCCCAGGGUCCUCAUGUUGAUAGUUCCUCAAUUCAAGAACCAUGAAAAAAAAAAAACAGGAACUCCGUAAGACGCACGGAACGCAAGCGGGUUGAAAUUUCCCGGGAACAUUUUAAGAAGUUGCACCGCGUUCUUGAGGAUGAAUCUGAUUGGCUCUGAGGUUGAAUCCGAGCGUCCGUGAACAUGAAUCUGAUUGGCUGGGAGGAUCUUUAAACUACAAGGCGGAAGGAUUUGGAGAUGCAAAAAUGACAACAGAAGUCGAGUUUCUUCGAGAUCAAGUGAAUCGUUUAAACUCUGUCCUGGGUCGAUAUCAGGAUGAAUUUCCUCCUCCCUCCUCGGUGUCACAGGUUAGAUUUAUAAUUAAAUGGCACUUUUAUUUGUUGAAUUAUAGAUAUCGGCAUUAUUCUCCUGUGGUCCAGAAUGAAUGUUUGGUUAAGUACAAAUAGAAGAGUUCAUAGCUAAAUAAAUACAAAUUCUGUUAUCAUCUCACACUCACGUUGUUCCAAACCUGUAUGACUUUUGUGUAAUGCAAAAGAUGUUAAGGUAGAAUGUGAGAACUAACAGCUCGAGUCACCAUUCACUGUUACUGCAUUAUUUCCCAUACAAAGAAAGUGAAGGGUUUCUAAACAGGCUUGGAAUAACAAGAGAGUAAAUUAUAACAGAUUGUAAAUUUUCACCAUAUUUAAGUCAGAGCAAUAGGGGAAAAAAUAAACAGAAAAUUUCUAAAAUAAACGUAAUUCUUAAUUCACCCUUCCACAAAUUAAGCCCUUAAAAGGUCUUAAAACGAAGCAGAAACUCUUAAAUUCAUAGUUACGUCAUUAAAUGUUGCAUGCACUGCAGAAGAAUGAAUAUCUUCCUCAGUAUUUUUGCCGUUUUCCAAAACAAAUAUCUAAACAUCCUUAAAUCAAGACACAUUUACUCAAGAUGCAGAAUGAACUUAUAAAGUCUUGUUUUCAGAGUAAAUUGAACAAAAUUGAGUUUAUGCUUAAAACAAGAACAAAUGUCCGUCAAUGGGUAUGAAAUCU